AAGAUUAAGCCAUGCAUGUCUAAGUAUAAGCAAUUUAUACAGUGAAACUGCGAAUGGCUCAUUAAAUCAGUUAUCGUUUAUUUGAAGAUAAUAACCAUUAGGAUAACCGUGGUAAUUCUAGAGCUAAUACUUGCUUCUAGGCUUUAUUAGAUAUGAAUCACAAUAACUUCAGAUCGUUCUGACGCUUCAUUCAAAUUUCUGCCCUAUCAGCUAGAUGGCAAGGUAU
rnacentral:rRNA from 1 species